GUGGGGAAUAUUGCACAAUGGGGGAAACCCUGAUGCAGCCAUGUCGCGUGUGUGAAGAAGGCCUUCGGGUUGUAAAGUACUUUCAGCGAGGAGGAAGGCGUUGUGGUUAAUAACCACAGCGAUUGACGUUACUCGCAGAAGAAGCACCGGCUAACUCCGUGCCAGCAGCCGCGGUAAUACGGAGGGUGCAAGCGUUAAUCGGAAUUACUGGGCGUAAAGCGCACGCAGGCGGUUUGUCAAGUCGGAUGUGAAAUCCCCGGGCUCAACCUGGGAAGUGCAUCCGAAACUGGCAGGCUAGAGUCUUGUAGAGGGGGGUAGAAUUCCAGGUGUAGCGGUGAAAUGCGUAGAGAUCUGGAGGAAUACCGGUGGCGAAGGCGGCCCCCUGGACAAAGACUGACGCUCAGGUGCGAAAGCGUGGGGAGCAAACAGGAUUAGAUACCCGGGUAGUCC
rnacentral:rRNA from 1 species